UUACAGAUGGUUGGGAAUUUGAAAGAUCUCGACUUUUUCUUCAAUCCCUCUUAGGAGAGAAGAUUUGCUCUUCAUGUUAUUACUCUGUUUGAUAUUUCAAGUUUCACUGUUUGUUUACCUAACAUCAUGAUUCCAUGUGGGUGAAAAAAAAUGGUUAAUCAAGCUCGAGUGUAUAAAAUUUUUCCUCUACUUUCUGUUUGUUUCCAUGGAAAUGGCUCCAGCUUUGAAUUUGUUUUUCUGUUGCAUCACACAUCAACAUGCUGAUCCUUUGACACCAUGUGAUUGAUUAGCCUAGACUUUUUUAAUGGCAAUAUUCUUCAAAUCUCCAGCUUUUCAACUCUAUUGGGGAGUUUUUUUUUUGUCUCUCCAGCUUGCAAAGAAAGUUGGAUCGGAGCAGAUGCUGUCGCUAUAGCUCAUGGCAUUUUCAGCAGAAGCCUUUUUUUUUUCCACAGAAACAAACAAAGAAUAGGGAACCUGCUUUUAUUUUAUCCUCUCUUAAGUUUGAAAGUGAUGCUGGUGAAAGGGACUGUACGUGGUAAAAUAUUUUGGAAUAGAACAGAAUAAUUUUCUAAGUCUAAAAAAUAUAUUAGACAAAAGUUAUUUUACAAAAAAAUUGUUAUGAAAAUAACUUGUUUUUCAGAUGUAUUUAGAAAUAUUUUGAUAAAAUGUUCUUAACAAUGAUCGAAAAUAUAAAGAAAGCUUCAAGAAAUUUUAUAUCUUUCUGGAAAAAGAAAAAUUAUAUUUGAAACUUUAUUAUUGAAAAUAAUUUAAAAAGAAUGAUUCCUAAAAACUAUAUUUGGA
rnacentral:lncRNA from 1 species